CAGGAAUAUGGCGGGCAAGACACAAGAAUAAUCCUAGGGCUAGCGAAGGUCAACGAACGGCGAACAGAGUCAAAAGGGGCAAGACUAAAGGG